AAGUCGUAACAAGGUUUCCGUAGGUGAACCUGCGGAAGGAUCAUUACAAUCAGUAGAUUUCUACUGCUGAGAGAGAGCGGAAAGUAGUCAGCUGCCCCUGGUAGUCUGGCUACAAGUACGUUCUCUGUCUGUACCCUUGUCUUUUUGCGCACUCAUGUUUCCUCGGCGGGCUUGCUCGCCGGUUGGACAAUCCUAAAACCUUUUUAAUUUUCAAUCAGCGUCUGAAUAAUUAUAAUAAUUACAACUUUCAACAACGGAUCUCUUGGUUCUG
rnacentral:misc_RNA from 1 species